rfam:Clostridium cadaveris strain NLAE-zl-G419 genome assembly, contig: Ga0070261_126
AUAAAGUAAAAAAUGUUCACUUAUAUAAAUCUAGUAAUAAGGGCUAGAUGUUUCUACCGAACUACCAUAAAUAGUUCUACUAUAAGUGGGAAAGCUAAUACA